UGGGGGAUCCCGAGGCGCCGGUGGCCGGCAGUCUGGGAGGGCCGGGAGCGGCAUCUGGCAGCCCUCCUUGCCACAACUUGCCCAAAGCAGGCAGGCUUCAUCCCGCGCCCUGGAAGAAGGAGGCAACCCGCUGCUUCCCCCUCGGCUGCUCCACCGCCUCCGCUGCGCCAGCCACGCCUCUGGGGUUUGGAUCCCCAGUUCGCCUGCAGCGCCAGGCGCUGGCCCAGGAGCGGACAGCUGGGGUGCUGGGGACAACGGUGAGCAAGACAAACCACGGCCCUUGUUCCCGCCGAUCCUGCAGCCCAGUGGAUGGAGCCCACGGUCCAUAGACCUGCCAGGAAAGAAAAAAAAUUUCCUGAUGGUUGGUCCAAGCAGGGACUCCCCGGUGGAUUGGGGAGUGUCUGGCUUUUCCUCAACAAUUUGGUCUAUGUGGUAGCCACAGGCGGCCUCCAGAAGAUGCCGAGAAUGAGAGGCCCGAGGUCUACAAGUUGCUGCUAGAAAUACUUUAGCUUCUCCAGAAAAUAGAACGCAGCCGCCUCACAAGCUUGUAAGGGCCUUGGGCGCUCGCUGACUGCGCGGGGACAGCGCGCCCUUUGCUCCAGGUCCGGCCGGGGCGCUGCCAUAGCAACAAAGGCCUGGACGCCGAGACUUAAAGCAGCCGCCGCUGGGAUCCGGCUACCUCCCGCUCCUGGGGGGUUGGGCGGCGGCGGCGGCCCGGGCCCGGUAGACUGAGCGGUUUCCUCCGAUGUCCGCAGAGGCGGCGGCUUACUUGCAAGCAUGCCUUUUAAGCAGCACGUCUACUACCCGCUGGCCAGCGGCCUCGAGAGUCCCGAAGGCCUCGCAGCCGCCGCGGCGGGCGCGGCAACUAUGGCCCGUGCCUCCCACAGCGCGGCGCCGGGCUCCCUGCCCUUCUUCCAGUUUCGGCCGCGGCUGGAGAGGGUGGACUGGCCGCGGCUGAGAGCCAUCGACGUGGACAAGGUGGCGGGGGCCGUGGACGUGCUCACGCUUCAGGAGAACAUCAUGAACAUCACCUUCUGCAAGCUGGAGGACGAGAAGUGCCAGCACUGCCAGUCGGGGGUGGACCCGGUGCUGCUGAAGCUCAUCCGCCUGGCGCAGCUCACCAUUGAGUACCUGAUGCACUCGCAGGAGUUCCUCACCUCGCAGCUGCACCACCUGGAGGAGCGGCUGCGUCUCAGCCAGGCCGACGGCGAGCAGAGCCAGAAGCUCCUCGCCAAGCAGGCCGGGGAGAUCAAGUUACUCAAAGAAGAGUGUAAACGCAGGAAAAAGAUGAUCUCGACCCAGCAGCAGCUGAUGAUCGAGGCCAAAGCCAGCUACUACCAGUGCCAUUUUUGUGACAAGGCCUUUAUGAACCAAGCUUUUCUACAAAGUCAUAUUCAGCGCCGCCACCUUGAGGAUUCUCACCUUGCAGAGUAUAAGAAAAAGGUGCAGAUUGUUAAACUCAAGAAUGAGAUGGACAUGUUGAAGGAGCAGCUACAGCUUACUAAGUCUCAGCUAGAGGCUGCACAGCAUGCCAAUGCAGUCCAGUCUAAGGAAUAUGAAAUGCAGAAAAUAAAAGAGGAAGAAUCUCGGAAGUUAUUUGAAAGAUCUAAAGAAGAAGAAAAGGAGAAAUUAAUUGAUAUAAUGGAAAAAGUCAAGCAAAUGUUCAUGAAGGAGUUGAAAGAAUUAACUUCCAGAAAUUCAGCAUUAGAAUAUGAAUUGUCAGAAGUCCAAAAGUCCAAUAUGCACAUAAAGUCUAACAUAGGCACCUUAGAAGAUGCACAGGAUUUUAAAGAAGAAGGUCCCCAGUAUCCUCAGGAUUUCCAGAAUGCGAUGCAACGUCUUGAUAGUCAGUUCCUGUCGCAUACAGAGAAACUUCGAACCUCAAUGAUAGACGACCUAAAUGCCAGUAAUGUUUUCUAUAAGAAAAGGAUAGAAGAGCUUGGGCAGAGGCUCCAGGAGCAGAAUGAAUUAAUUAUCACGCAGAGACAGCAGAUUAAAGAGUUUACCAGGAAACCAUCAAACAGCAUCAGUGAGCCCAAAGGGAAUCCUUUAACCUGGCAAACUUUUGAAUCAAAGCCAGCAGCCCCAGCUGUGCCCACGAAUGCCCCAGCCCCUCAAACUUUGGAGGCCAAAUCAAGUCUACCAAUGGCGCAUGGAAAGGAAAACGAGCAGAAGUUAAAUAACAACAAGAUACAAUUAAGAAGAGCUUUGAAGGGUAACCCUACCCUCACGAAGGAAAUAAGAGCAGUCUUGGAGCAGAGUUUGGUGGAGAAACUGGAAACCUUGGGGAUUAGUGCAGAUGUACGCGGUAUUCCAAGCGAUCAAUUGAGUAGAGUGCUAAGAGUCCUGGAAACAGCAAGACAUGAGCGAGAAAGACAAAUACCUAACAUUCUGCAGAUUCGAGAAUUCCUUGAACGUCAGGUCAGAUGUAAAAUCGAGGCGAGAACAUUGCUGUCUUCAGAUAAGCCUUGUGCUUCUCAAAUGGACGUGCUUUCAGCUGGAGAAAUACCCAAGGCAGUACAGCUUCCUUCCAAAAGCAGACAAUUAAUUCGACAAAGACCUGUUUUUUCUGAUAGGACCUCUGUUCCAAAAAUUAAGAAAAACAUCCCAGAAGAUAAUUUUCCCAGGAGGUCUUCAACUAUUACGACCUCUCCCUUUAGUUCAGAGGAAGACUUGGAUGACGACGACCUUGUCCAGGCCUACACACCUCCAGGCUUGCUUCCUGUGCAGUCAUCUAAAAGCAACAAGAGCAGCUCUGGAAAGAACACUGUCAAAUGUAACACUGCCUGGACCGAGGGAAGUGAAAUCAAGGACUCCAAUGUUUCUCCCAAGCCCGCAGGAACCUGCAUUGAAACACUAACUGAAAAACGUGAAAAGACAGUUUCAAAUCACAAAAAUGUGAAUAAACCAGUUGGUGGGAUUCAUGCAGCUGAGGUGUUCGUUCUAAAAGACUUAGAAGAACUAAAGUGUGUGGAUGUGGAUGAUGAUGACUGGGACAUAUCAUCCUUGGAGGACGAAAAAUCUUUUGGGAAAAAAUUUGCCAAGGAGCAGAAGGAACCUCCACCUGGGAAGAAUCAAUCAAAUUCUGCUCAAGUGCCAAGUGCCUGGGGUGCAUCGAACCUUAAAGGGCCACAGGGAGAAGGACUUCAAGACGAUUCAAGCACAGUGAAAAGCAGCUUAGUAACUGUGACUGACUGGAGUGAUUCUUCAGAUGUGUAACUCUGAUCCCACACGCCAGAAGGUCCAGAUGCCAACAGUAUUUCAGUAACCACCCUACAGCUCCCACAAUAACAAGGAAGCUAAUUCACAGAACAAGGGUCUCUUUAAUGGCACCUAACUCAGUAUUGAAAAGCUAAUUGUCAACAGUAUUUUGAAGCAUGUCAAGACCUUUUCUUCUUCGUUCUGUUGACAGACCUGCAUAGCAGACUUACUCAACAGUGACUUGAAUUCGCGCCUCUCAGUGUGUGAUCUGACAAAAAGUGACUUGUAUUAUUGAAAGACAAGAUUGAGAGAUGGAGGAAUAUAAUACCACUCACAUUUGUUCUGCAGCAUGCCUUCUCUGACGCCGAUCGGGAAACGGUCUCUGCCUGGAAAUCUUCCUUCAUUUUUUUGGUAAUGCUAAAGGAACUGACUUCAACCUCAGAUUAUCCACAUUUCAGAUGGUCUGUGGCAGGCCUUUCCAUUGCUGACAAUAUUCCCCUGACCCUAGACUAAACCAGCUUUUCCCACCCAGAGCAUGGCCUCUUCCCUGAGCUGUUAACAUUGCCAACACUUCUUCAUUAUUCUGAAAGCCUCUGAAUCUGCUUCACACCAGACGGAUCCAUGAUCGUUGUUAUACAUCGAAACAUCAUUUUUAGACUAUCUCAGAUAUUCUGCUCUGUGGACAGGACUAACCAAAAACUGUCUGUAUGCUUUUAAUUCAUUUAUGUAACUGAAUGUGAAUUUAAUAAACAAGUAAUAGGGAAAAUUUUUACUCUUGUACAAAGAAAUUAAAACACAGAUGGAUCCUUUAAAAUUUACCCCAAAAGAACCAUGAAGAUCUAAGGCAUUAAAAUGUACUCUGAACUAUGUGGUGAAAUUAUUCUCAUCCCAGUGGCUGUGCCCGGCAUUCCAGGCUCACAUCUCUCAUUUCAUGUUGACAGAACCAGAGAUGGUACCCGCUGGUGGCCUUAAUCUGACCAUUUCGUACUUUUAACUCAUAUUUCA